GCCCUCGCCGACUGGACCGGCCCGCGUUUCCUAAGCGCGACAUCGGAGGUUCGAAUCCUCCCGAGGGCAC
rnacentral:tRNA from 1 species